GACGAACGCUGGUGGCGUGCUUAACACAUGCAAGUCGAGCGGAAAGGCCACUUCGGUGGUACUCGGGCGGCGAACGGGUGAGUAACACGUGAGUAAUCUGCCCCUGGCUUUGGGAUAGCCACCGGAAACGGUGAUUAAUACCGGAUACGACCACUUCUCGCAUGGGAUGGUGGUGGAAAGUUUUUUCGGCCAGGGAUGUGCUCGCGGCCUAUCAGCUUGAUGGUGAGGUAAUGGCUCACCAUGGCUUCGACGGGUAGCCGGCCUGAGAGGGUGACCGGUCACACUGGGACUGAGACACGGCCCAGACUCCUACGGGAGGCAGCAGUGGGGAAUAUUGGACAAUGGGCGGAAGCCUGAUCCAGCAACGCCGCGUGAGGGAUGACGGCCUUCGGGUUGUAAACCUCUUUCAGCAGGGACGAAGCGCAAGUGACGGUACCUGCAGAAGAAGCACCGGCCAACUACGUGCCAGCCGCCGCGGUAA
rnacentral:rRNA from 1 species